CUUCCUCUGCUUGCUGAUGUUGCAAAUAGCUUCUAUAUUAAAUAGUAACAUUCUUCAGCCAGAUUUUAAAUGAUCAGAUUGCAGUACAGUGCAAAAGGAUAGUCAGCAAGAAAAAGACACUUUGUAUUUUUAGUCACAUUUUGUAUUUUGUCAACCAUUGAUUUAUUUAUUCGUUCCGUAUUUACUGAGUGCUAGCCAUGUGCCAGCCAUUGCACCAAGUGCCAGGAAUACUAACUAGAUUCUUGACCUCCCAGCAGUCAAAGUGUAGUGAGAGAAGCAUGCAGGAAAUUAGAAUUAUAAAACCAGUGUGAUUUGAGAAAGGGUUUCUAAAAGUGCUGUGGGACCACAGAGGAGGGGAUGAUGUAGACUACUCAGAGAAGUCUGUGGUGACUUCACCAAGGACGGGUGUUGAUGCAAAAUGAACAAACCUUUUAGAAUGUCUGCGGGGGCGGGAAGGAAGAGAGUUUUAUUCGAGUCCAAGUGAGGACAGCUGCCCAGGAUACACAAUGUUCACGAAGAAGAGAGUGCUUCCCCUAAAGGAUCAUUUGAGAUGAAGUGAAGCUCCGUGAAGUUCACUGCUUUCCUGCCAGGUCACACAGCUGACAGCUGGAGAACUGGAUCGCAAAUCUGCGGACCACACUCUGUGCAGGGCCUCUGAGCUCCUGGAGGCUCAGCAGGUGCAGGCCUCCUGCAAGCUCUGGAGGUGGAGUGUUGUCAGGGUGCCCCAGAUUUGUUUUCAUCAGCUACACAUCAUGAAGAGCUACAGAAAUUGGUGGACACUGUGCUGUCAAUUAAGCAUAAGGACAUCCUUGUGGAAUUUGGGUCAUUUGAUCCUUCUUGCCUGAUGCCUGCCUGCCCAGAUUACUGGACCUACUCAGGGUCCAUGACUACCCCGCCACUCCAAGUCCGUUGCCUGGAUCAUUAAGAAGCAGCCCAUAGAGGUUGAUCAUGAUCAGGUCACCAGCAGAAGACUGUUCUGGAGGAUUCUUUACCUACAAACCAGAAUAACACCCACUCGGUUAUGCUGCAGAUGUGGAAAAUUCUGUAGACAUUUGAAAGAAAAAUACAUUAUGGAAAUCAGUACACAGUGGCAUGAGACUGUCCAAUCUCAUGCUAUGAUCACCUGAAGAGAGAUGUUAGGUAUGUAUGAAGAGUUUUUUCUACCAUGAAAAAUGUCUUAAGAAGAAAUUUCUAUCAUAGGAACUUCUCUUUUAAAAAUCAUCUACCUGGAGAUCAUUCCUUAAUGAAUUGGCCAAAAAAAAAAAAAUUAGUUGUGAGUGGAGAAUGUCAGGGGUCUCGUUGCCCUGCACCCACCGGUUAACCACAACCCCUCAUCCUGAAACAUUGGGUAUCUCUCCGACUUCAGAAAACUUCUGGUGCUCAUAGUGAUCUGAAGAGGCACCUGCACCCCAAUGUUUAUAGGAGCAAUGUCCACAAUAGCCAAAAUAUGGAAAGAACCUGGCUGUCCAACAGAUGAUUGGAUAAGGAAGACGUGGUGUGUGUGUGUGUGUGUGUGUAUAAAAUGGAAUAUUACUCAGCCAUCAAAAAGAAUGAAAUCUUACC